GUCUUUUUGAUUUAAAUAUAAAGUAUAACCUGCCCAUUGAAUUUUUAAAAGGCUGCGGUAUAUUGACCGUACAAAGGUAGCAUAAUCAUUAGUUUUUUAAUUGAGAACUUGUAUGAAUGGUUGAAUGAGAAAUAAUCUUUUUUAAUAGGAAAAUUGAAUUUUACCUUUUAAUUAAAAGGUUAAAAUAUUUUUAAAAGACGAGAAGACCCUAUAGAGUUUUAUAAUUUAUAUUUAAUAUUAAAAAAAAUUAAUAAAUAUUUUUAUUUAAAUAAUUAUUUUGUUGGGGUGAUGAUAAAAUUUAAUUAACUUUUAUUUUUUUUUACAUUAAUAUAUGGCUAAUUGAUCCACUACUAGUGAUUAAAAAAUUAAAUUACCUUAGGGAUAACAGCGUAAUUUUUUUUUUAAGUUCAUAUUAAUAAAAAAUUUUGCGACCUCGAUGUUGGAUUAAGAUUUAAUUUUAGGUGCAGAAGUUUAAAAUUUAAGUCUGUUCGACUUUUAAAUUCUU
rnacentral:rRNA from 1 species